AGUGUUACCCGUUGAAUUGAUGAAUUUAUUCCCCAUUUGAAUCAGAAGGACUAGAAAUGUAUCAGACAGGCGACGGCUGCAGCGCCUCACCUCAGACAGAAACAACCAAACCCAGAGAUGAAUGGAGAAUCCUUUCACACCAGCUGAUGCCUUGUGGGAAACAGACUGUGACCCGACUGGACCUUCCACCCCGGCAUCCAAAAAUGGUGCUCUACUUUUUGACCGGCGCUAGAAAGAUACAUCUAGAAUGUCAGAGAGGCUGUGAGAAGGGAGAUAUAUUCCCAUAGAAAGACGAUUACUGAAGCAGACAUUCCCUUUUCAACUCAAUGACACAGUUAUGGGUGAACCCGGCGGCCAUGUUGAGUGAGUGUGAGUCCAUUUACACAGUUAUGGGUGAACCCGGCGGCCAUGUUGAGUGAGUGUGAGUCCAUUUACACAGUUAUGGGUGAACCCGGCGGCCAUGUUGAGUGAGUGUAAUUCCACGAGGGGGGGAGAAGGGAAUCGGAGUCCAUUUACACAGUUAUGGGUGAACCCGGCGGCCAUGUUGAGUGAGUGUGAGUCCAUUUACACAGUUAUGGGUGAACCCGGCGGCCAUGUUGAGUGAGUGUAAUUCCACGAGGGGGGAGAAGGGAAUCGGAGUCCAUUUACACAGUUAUGGGUGAACCCGGCGGCCAUGUUGAGUGAGUGUGAGUCCAUUUACACAGUUAUGGGUGAACCCGGCGGCCAUGUUGAGUGAGUGUAAUUCCACGAGGGGGGGGAAGGGAAUCGGAGUCCAUUUACACAGUUAUGGGUGAACCCGGCGGCCAUGUUGAGUGAGUAUAAUUCCACGAGGGGGAGAAGGCGGCCAUGUUGAGUGAGUGUGAGUCCAUUUACACAGUUAUGGGUGAACCCGGCGGCCAUGUUGAGUGAGUGUAAUUCCACGAGGGGGAGAAGGGAGUUGGAGUCCAUUUACUCAGACAGUUAUGGGUGAACCCGGCGGCCAUGUUGAGUGAGUGUAAUUCCACGAGGGGGAGAAGGGAAUCGGAGUCCAUUUACUCAAGACAGGUAAAAUAAUUCAUCUCACUCAAGCACAACAUAUUUUCCAUUUAUCUUUUACAAUAAAUACAGUCUUACAAAGCAAAAAGGUUGUGAACACACAUUCAGUAGAAACACAGACAGGACCCCUAGGUUUAACCAAAUCCCCUAUGAGGGACCCUAUUCCCUACGUAGAGCACUAGAUAGGGAAUAGGGAGCCAUUUCAAAAAUGAACCCUGAUCAACACACCCCUUUUCAAAAACAAAUGUUUGUUCCUCAGAGAGCUGGACAGAGCAGGUAGAAAAACACACCCUCUUCAUAACUAGGUCUACCACACUUUAAAAUGUCUUCUCUCGUCCACAACCAGAAGAACCACAUCAUAACAGGAUCGCUAACCGUUCAAAAAAAAAAAUCAGCCUGCUUCCCCUCUCAUCUUUAAUGAAAACUAUAGCAGCAGUAGUAUUCAAUCUAGACGGAAUGUUACUGAAUCCCACAGGAAGGUGAAUAUGGGGGUCACGACCUGUUAGGAGCAAGAGACAGUGGAGCCCGUUGAACUUUCACAGUAAUAAAAAAUAAAAUCACAAAUGAACCAUGUUUUAUAACUAAAAAUGUGUUGCUACACAACGCAUGCAAAAAUAAAACAUUUCAUUUCAACGGUCACGUGUCUAGUCCAGGUGUGUCGGUGUGUCUAGUCCAGGUGUGUCUCUGUUACAGCAUGUCUAGUCCAGGUGUGUCUCUGUUACAGCAUGUCUAGUCCAGGUGUGUCUAGUCCAGGUGUGUCUAGUCCAGGUGUGUGAAGAUAAAAUUCGUUGUAGACGACCCCUCUGGCAUCACAUGACAAAAUGGCCUCCUAUUCCCUUUCUAGUUCACUAGUUCAGACCAUCUAGCUGGUCAAGGUAGUGCACUAGGUAGGGAAUAGGGGCCUGGUCUAAAGUAGUGCACUAGAUAGGGGGCGGAGGGGCACGGGACUGGACCUGGGGCGGAGGGGCACGGGACUGGACCUGGGGCGGAGGGGCACGGGACUGGACCUGGGGCGGAGGAGCUAGGGGUACAGGACUGGACGUGGGGUGGAGGGGCACGGCACAGGACUUGCCCUGGGGCGGAUGGGCACGGCACAGGACUUGCCCUGGGGCGGAGGGGCACGGCACAGGACUGGGCCUGGGGCGGAGGGGCACAGGACUGGACCUGGGGCGGAGGGGCACAGGACUGGACCUGGGGCGGAGGGGCACAGGACUGGACCUGGGCGGAGGGGCACAGGACUGGACCUGGGGCGGAGGGGCACAGGACUGGACCUGGGGCGGAGGGGCACAGGACUGGACCUGGGGCGGAGGGGCACAGGACUGGACCUGGGGCGGAGGGGCACAGGACUGGACCUGGGGCGGAGGGGCACAGGACUGGACCUGGGGCGGAGGGGCACAGGACUGGACCUGGGGCGGAGGGGCACAGGACGGACCUGGGGCGGAGGGGCACAGGACUGGACCUGGGGCGGAGGGGUACAAGACUGGACCUUGGGCGGAGGGGCUAGGGGUACAAGACUGGACCUUGGGCGGAGGGGCUAGGGGUACAAGACUGGACCUUGGGCGGAGGGGCACAAGACUGGACCUUGGGCGGAGGGGCUAGGGGUAUAAGACUGGACCUGGGGUGGAGGGGCUAGGGGUAUAAGACUGGACCUGGGGUGGAGGGGCACAGGACUGGACCUGGGGUGGAGGGGCACAGGACUGGACCUGGGGCGGAGGGGCUAGGCGUACAGGACUGGACCUGGGGCGGAGGGGCUAGGGGUACAAGACUGGACCUGGGGCGGAGGGGCUAGGGGUACAAGACUGGAC
rnacentral:lncRNA from 1 species